rnacentral:rRNA from 1 species
AUGUGAUCGUCUCUCGCAUAUCAAUAAGCGGAGGAAAAGAAACUAACAAGGAUUCCCCUAGUAACGGCGAGUGAAGCGGGAAGAGCUCAAAUUUGAAAUCUUAUAGGGUUUCCCUUUACGAAUUGUAGUUUAAAGAAGUGUUUUCUGUUGAGGUUUUGGUAAAAGUUCUUUGGAAUAGGACAUCAUAGAGGGUGAGAAUCCCGUAUUUGACCUUUACUUUCAACUUUGUGAUACACUUUCAAAGAGUCGGAUUGUUUGGGAAUGCAGUCCAAAAUGGGUGGUAAAUUUCAUCUAAAGCUAAAUAUUGGCGAGAGACCGAUAGCGAACAAGUACCGUGAGGGAAAGAUGAAAAGAACUUUGAAAAGAGAGUUAAACAGUACGUGAAAUUGUCAAAAGGGAAGCGUUUGACACCAGUGUUGUUUUUCUGAAAAUCAAUUAAAGAACUGUUUAUGCUAAGUUGUUUAGACUUUAUCAGCUAACUGUUUAGUUUUGAGCUUUUCUUUAAUGCACUUUCCAGUUAACAAGUCAACAUCAAUUUCUUUUGCUGUAAAAAAGCUUGAGGAAGGUGGCUUGAGAUUCGUCUUAAGUGUUUAUAGCCUCUUGCCUAUGCAGUCGGAGAGAUUGAGGUCUGCAGCGUAGAUCCUUCGGGGCUAAAUGCAUUUGUGCUAAGUUAUAGCAUUUUAUAGACAACUUGUUGACUAUGAUUUGUCUUGUAGCUUACUCGCUUAUGUUAUUUUACCUACGCUUAGGAUGUUGAUAUGCAUGACUGAUAU